AGCUCGAUUGAAGUCCGAAUCUAUAACUGCAGAUUCAUUUGAGGCUUCAUACUAUUUUGUUUCCGGAGUUGGAUCCCGAGUCUGUUACUGCAGAUUCAUCUGCGUUUCCACUCCCUACAUUUUGCUCGAAU